rnacentral:rRNA from 1 species
CCUGGUGGUCAUGGCGGGGUGGCUGCACCCGUUCCCAUUCCGAACACGGCCGUGAAACGCCCCUGCGCCAAUGGUACUUCGUUUAUUGUUAUCUGACGUUGGGCGGAAGCCCGGU